UCCAGUUGAACCAGCACCAUUUUCUGAAAAUGCUCUUUUUUCCAUUGAAUGGUUUUGGCUCCUUUGUCAAAAGUAAAGUGCCCAUAGGUGUGUGGGUUCAUUUCUGGGAGCUGCCUUAUGUAUAAUACCCAAGAGCUAGAAGAAUCCGUAAUGGCAUUCAUCAGAGGAAUGAAUACAGAAAAUGUAGUACAUCUAAACAAUUGUGUACUACUCAACUCUUAAAACCAAUUAUCUCAAGAAAGCCAAAGACAAAUGGGAUGAUCUAGAAAAUAUCAUAAUGAUUGAGGUUACCCAAUCACAAAAUGGUAUGAAAUCACACAUUUUAUGAAAUCACCAAAAGUGGAUAUUGGCACAAAAGCUAAAAUUACCAAAGAUGCAGUUCACAGACAACUGGAAGCUCAAUAAAAUGAUACACAAAAUGUGCAUGCUUUAAUCCUUUUCAAAAGGUGGACACAAUAAUAUCUAUGAAUUUCGAGCAGAGACUGAGGAAAUCCCAUUCAGAGCAGGCCGUACAUGUGGCAAAAAUAUAUACACAUCAGUCACCAAAACUAGAUAAGAUUGAUGGAGCUAAGAAGUGCAUUGUGCCAGGGACUGUAUAGAGAUCUUUCCUGUGAGACACAGCUAGAGCAUAUCAAAUAAAGAAGUGAAUUCUAGAGGCAAAUCAGUGAAUUGAAAACGGACAGUAGGGGAGUUAUAGAAAAAGAGGAGUGGGGCCGGUUAGGGAUCAUAUGUGCAGGUAAUAGGGAAAGGAAAUAACAUUUCAAAUGUAAAUAUAGAAAUACCCAAUUAAAACAGGAAUAAAAUUUGCUAAAAAAAUAAAAAGAAAUAAAGAAAUUUAAGAAAAGAACACUGCGAAGUAUUCACAGCUAUUGACUCAGAAAUGUAAAAGUCAUUUUCAUGGAAUGAUAGUCAGAGUAAUACUAAUGGAAAGACUGAGAUGAUGAAGACUCAACUAGAAACACUUCUCUCUCCCAGAUAUCAGUAUCAGACAAAAACUGCACUAUAGGCAUCCAGAGCAUGGUGGAAUUUACUCUGAGGCGAGGACUCAAUACUUGUCUUUCCAUUCUUCCUUAGGACCAUUUUCUUCUUGACAAAAAGAAUAAGGCUAUGAGAUCUCAGCAAAACAACUGUGCCCUGCCCAUCACUUGGCUUUGGAAUAAAAAAAAAUAAUGAUAUAAACUCUUUGACUUCCAGGAAUGAUAUGAACAGGAACUGUAAGAGCAGGAAGUCCAGAUGCUUCUGAGAGGACCCCAGCUCCUAAUUCCCAUUUGUAGACGGCUCAGAUCAAGACAAUCUCUUCAUGAAACAACUCAACACCUACUAAGGACUCAGAGAGCUUUCCCAAGGACCUUUUUUGUACCAAGACAGAAGGACCAAAACCAUCAGCUUUAAAGAAAACUGUGCCCUUCCCAACACUUGGCUUUGGAAAAAAGACAUGAAUGAUAUAAAUUCUCCGACUUCCAGGAACCAUAACUAGCAGGGAAGUCCAGAUGCAUCUGAGAGGCUCCCAUCUCCUGAUUACCAUAUUUGAAAGGCUCCAAUCAAUACUAUCUUUUCAGCAAACCUUCUCAACCACUACCCAGAAAUGACUGAGAUUUCCCAUGGACCACAUAUUUCUUUUUUUUUAUAACAAAGCAGAAGGCCAGCUUCCUUCUUCCCAUCUUUGAUCACUUCAUCCUCUUUUUUCUCCUUCCCAAAGGCUGUUUAUGCUGAAUUAGAGGCCAAAUAGUAAACCCUAGAGGUACUGAAGGACUACUGGAGAGGCAACUUCUGUCAGGACAACACUUGUUACAUCACAGAAGAAACUAGGGAUCUCCAGGAUACAACAGAUUUUUUUAGAUAGGCCUAAUGGUGAUGUCACUGAGAAUUGCCAUGGCCUACCUGCUAAAGUGUUUUCCUUUCAAUGACCAGAUUCGAGGGUGCCCUUGCAAGGGCCAGACGUGAAGGUUUUCGAGGUUUUACCAUGGUUGUUACUUCAGGACAAACAUAAAAUUCAGGAGGAUGUGCAGGGAGAUGAAUGGCUUGAUGUCCAGGGAAACUUCAACUUCAAUAGGUUCAUAAGAACAAGAGGGAGGUGUUUGGAAUUGCCAUUUGUGGAUUCUACAUUCUUGACCUAGGUGUACAUAAUCCAUGUGAAAAUUCCACCUAACCUCAUAGCUGUAGGAGCCACCAAAUGUAUAGUUGGAACCAGAUGUACAUCUUUCCUGAGAGACACAGCUUGAGCAAGUCAAAUACAGAAGAGAAUGCUACUGGCAAACCAGUGAACCAAAAAUGGAUCUCUUGUUGGUAGUUUUUGAGAAACAAUUACAAGAGCUUAAGGGGAUUUCAAUUCCAUAAGAACAACAAUGCCAGUGAACCAGAGCUUUCUGGUACUAAACCAAUAUUCAAAGACUGUACUUGGACAGACCUAUGUGUCCAACUGCAUAUGUAGCAGUGGAUGGCCUUGUUGGGAACCAAUGGAAGGAGAAGUUCCUGGUCCAACCUAGGUUUAACUCUCAGUUCAAGGUAAUAUCAAGGUUCACUAAGGUAGGUUAUAGAAGAAUGUUAGGGGGACUAGUUACGGGUCUUAUGGACAUGAAACUGGGAAAGAAAAUCAAAUUUGAAAUUCAAAUAUAGAAAUAUCCAAAUAAAAAAAGCAAUAAAAUUUGCUAAAAAUUAAAAAAAAAUGAAAUAAAUUAAAGAAAAGACAUCUGUCAGCUAAUUACACAUAUUGACUCAGAAAUCUAAAGGUUAACUAUCAGGAAAUGGUAAUCAGAGUAAUACUAGUGGAAAGACUGAGAUGAUGAAGUCUCAACUAGAAGCUCUUCUCUCCCAAAUAUCAGUGUCAGACACAAACUGCACUAUAGGUAUCCAAAGCAUGGAGGCGUUUACACUGAGCUGAGGAGACAAUACUUGUCUAUCCUUUGUUUCUUCGGACCUUUUUCUUCAGGGCAAAAAGAGUGAAAGCCAUGAGCUCUCACUAGAACAACUGUGCCCUUCCCAACAACUGACUUUUGGAAUGAAGAAAAUGAUUAUAUAAACUCUCUGAAUUCCAGAAACCAUAUCAAGCAGGGAAGUCCAGAUGAUAAUGAGAGAAUCCCAGCUCUGGAUUCCCAUGUGUGUAAGGCUCAGAUCAAGGCUAUCUCUUCAGAUACAACACUCAACGCCUACCCAAGACUCACUGAGCUUUCCC